rnacentral:rRNA from 1 species
AUUGAACGCUGGCGGCAUGCCUUACACAUGCAAGUCGAACGGCAGCACGGGAGCAAUCCUGGUGGCGAGUGGCGAACGGGUGAGUAAUGUAUCGGAACGUACCUUUCAGUGGGGGAUAACGUAGCGAAAGUUACGCUAAUACCGCAUAUUCUGUGAGCAGGAAAGCAGGGGAUCGCAAGACCUUGCGCUGAUUGAGCGGCCGAUAUCAGAUUAGCUAGUUGGUGAGGUAAAGGCUCACCAAGGCGACGAUCUGUAGCGGGUCUGAGAGGAUGAUCCGCCACACUGGAACUGAGACACGGUCCAGACUCCUACGGGAGGCAGCAGUGGGGAAUUUUGGACAAUGGGCGCAAGCCUGAUCCAGCCAUGCCGCGUGAGUGAAGAAGGCCUCGGUUGUAACCGUACUUUGGUCGAGGAACGAAACCUACGCGCUAUACGCGC